GCUGGGUGUGGUAGCGGGCACCUGUAAUCCCAGUUACUUAGGAGGCUGAGACAGGAGAAUUGCUUGAGCCCCGGGAGGCGGAGGUUGCAGUGUGCCGAGAUUGCGCCACUGUAUCCCAGCCUGGACAAGAGAGCAAGACUCUGUCUCAA
rnacentral:SRP_RNA from 1 species